rnacentral:rRNA from 1 species
UAAUACGAAGGGUGCAAGCGUUAUCCGGAUUCAUUGGGUUUAAAGGGUGCGUAGGCGGGGCAGAAAGUCAGCGGUGAAAUCCUGCAGCUUAACUGUAGAAUUGCCGUUGAUACUGCUGCUCUUGAGUACGCUUGACGUGGGCGGAAUGUGCCGUGUAGCGGUGAAAUGCUUAGAUAUGGCACAGAACACCGAUAGUGAAGACAGCUCACGAAGGCGAAACUGACGCUGAGGCACGAAAGCGUGGGGAUCGAACAGGAUUAGAUACCCUGGUAGUCCACGCCGUAAACGAUGAUCACUCGAGGUUGGCGAUAUACGGUCGGCCUCCUAGCGAAAGCGUUAAGUGAUCCACCUGGGGAGUACGAUCGCAAGAUUGAAACUCAAAGGAAUUGACGG